AAGUCGUAACCUGCGGAAGGAUCAUUAACACGUAUCCAAACGUUAACCCCCCUCCCCCGUGAACCUUCAUCCUGCUCUUGUAACCCGCGUAGUUCGCAAUCUCUGAUAAAUCAUAUCCCGGAAAGUUGUAGUGAUUCAGAGGCCUCUGGCUACGUGCGAACAUUGGAACAGUUACAAUCGAGCGGUAGUUCUAUAGGCAAUGUUUCCCCAAGCAGUCAGUGUCGGAAAGUGUCAUCGAUUGUGCAAGGAUAGCGCUGCCCCCUAAUAACCCCACAGUUUAAUGUGAAGCUACAUUGGGUAAAAAAACCGAACAACUGUUAACAAUGGAUAUCUUGGUUCUC
rnacentral:misc_RNA from 1 species